rfam:Tolypothrix bouteillei VB521301 scaffold_1, whole genome shotgun sequence.
GUCAGCACCCCGUACUAAAGUAACGGGGCUUCGUGCCCCAAGCUUUAGUUAGCUGACCCGCCUAAGUUCUUAACUGAACUACGUUAUUGGCAAGAGUUAAAGUCCUACCUGUGGAUGCAUUGCCAGUCCAUAGCUCUAGAAUUAGAUGGUUAAACAGCUUUACAAGGGGUAAGGCAGUGCUAUCUAAAUAGUGAGGCAAAUCUGAAGACGGGUUUCCCGUCGCAGGAUAUUGCCGAACCCGUAAGGGUACCGACCAAUAACUUUGGCAAGGCUAACAUUAC